rnacentral:rRNA from 1 species
GAGCGCAACCCUUGUCUUUAGUUGCCAUCAUUAAGUUGGGCACUCUAGAGAGACUGCCAGGGAUAACCUGGAGGAAGGUGGGGAUGACGUCAAAUCAUCAUGCCCCUUAUGCUUAGGGCUACACACGUGCUACAAUGGGUAGUACAGAGGGUUGCCAAGCCGUAAGGUGGAGCUAAUCCCUUAAAGCUACUCUCAGUUCGGAUUGUAGGCUGAAACUCGCCUACAUGAAGCUGGAGUUACUAGUAAUCGCAGAUCAGAAUGCUGCGGUGAAUGCGUUCCCGGGUCUUGUACACACCGCCCGUCACACCACGGGAGGUGGAGACGCCCGAAGCCGAUUAUCUAACCUUUUGGAAGAAGUCGUCGAAGGUGGAAUCAAUAACUGGGGUGAAGUCGUAACAAGGUAGCCGUAUCGGAAGGUGCGGCUGGAUCACCUCCUUUCUAAGGA